rnacentral:rRNA from 1 species
CGUGUAGGUGGACCUGUAAGUGAGGGGUGAAAUCCCGGGGCUUAACUCCGGAACUGCCUUUCAUACUGUAGGUCUCGAGUACGGGAGAGGGAGAUGGAAUUCCUGGUGUAGCGGUGGAAUGCGUAGAUAUCAGGAGGAACACCGGUGGCGAAGGCGGUCUCCUGGCCCGAUACUGACGCUGAGGCGCGAAAGCGUGGGGAGCAAACAGGAUUAGAUACCCUGGUAGUCC